GUCAAUAGUAAAUCCCAGUGGAUUAAUACCUGUGAUUACUAUUAAUAUAGGGUGAGUCCCGGAAGGUAAACUCACGCAGGCUGGAACCUGCGAAGGGUGAGUCCUAGGGGGUAAAUACCAGCGGGGUUGGUUCCCUGUAUAGCUACAACGGGGUGAGAGCCUAGUUGUAUUGGCCAUAAAAGUGUGAAUGGAAGGUUAGUUGUGUGCCCUGUUGGGGUGGUGAACCAUGGCAGAUUAUGUGGAAAUAGGAAGACAAAUGUGAAUAAUUUUGGUGAAGUAUUAUCAAUAAUAGGGAUAUUGGAGGAGAUACGGCACAAAGACAUUAAGAAAUCCGUAUUCUCCAGUAAUAGAUUCGCAGACGUUUCUGGUAUCGGUUUUUGAAUGAUUAUCCGGGGAAGUGUGUAGUGCUAUCUUAGGAAAUAGUGAAUAGAUGGUGUGUAUAAUCGACAGGAGUUAAGGAAUCUAAGAUACCCUGAAUACCGUCGGGUAUCUAUUGAUAUGGCGACAAACGAACCCGUUUCUCCCUGUAAUAUAGAGAUAGCGGAAUAGAAUAAAGCUAUGGAGGUGCUAAAAGAAGCACACGAGCAUUCUACCAAUUCGGCUGGAAUAUGGGAAAAAUUUAGCAAAUUAGAUAAAAUUGGACAAUAUUUUCCUUCUGACGGUGAAUUCAAAUCAAAUAAAGAAUGCAGGGAGGCAAUUAUGACUUGGCACAAGGACAUAAAAACAGAAUCAAAAACGUAAUAUACCCGUGUUUUAAUGUCAGCAUUCUAUCAACAGAAAAUGCGUAAACCCAUAAAGUGUAACACCAGUACUUUACUACAGAAGGCCUGGGAACGGGAGUGUAUUGAAAAAAAAUUGCGCUUCUGCUUUAAUGACGGGGUUGAACCCUCAAAACAGUAAUUGCGGGGGUAGUAGAUUUAAUUCAAGACAAUGUUUUGAGAGUGGAAUAUGACUCCGCUCACCUUGCAGACGUGCCAGGGGUUAAUAAGGCCAUAGAGGAAAUGGCUAACAACAGUUUCAAUGGCCAGGAUAAAACUAAGAAACGUAGCGAAAAAAAAUCAAAACGUAAGGAGACAGCUCCCUGUUUUAGAUGUGGGACUAUCGGGCAUUGGAAGAAUGAGUUUAAGGUGAUACUGGAACCUAGUGCAUUAGCAUAUCACUUUAUGACGACUCAUGUGACAUGGAUUGGUUAUUGGUAACUGGGGGACCAAUGGGAGGACAGAGGAUGCUGUUAUUCAAAUAUUACAAAUUAUGUUUGUCAGGAAAUAACCCAUGUGUUACAGUGUGCAUAUCCUCAGUUAUAUCUUGGUUCCACCUAAGGGCACGGGCUGAAUUCUGGAGAUUGAGUGUACAUCAAGAGACAUCAGGCGGGGGUGUUGAGCAUUGAUUUGAGAGACACACUACUUCGAACAGUACCUGCAGUGGUUAAGAUCGUCAUGUCUCUCCUUGGGGGGUGCAUAGUUUGCACGUGAAGUGAGGUCCAACUGCAUAAUGGGUCCCUCCAUGCUCUCCCUCGACUCCCAUGAACACCUGUGUCCCCCCAUCCCACUCACGCGCCCCUUCACCUACUCCUCACCCAAUCUUGGCACCAAGGAUCCAAUUCGGGAAAGUCGCAUUCCUAGUCGUAAUGCUGGUGAGUUACCGCCACUGAUAUCCAAAAGUUAUUUCCGGCUGCAAAGUUGCUUCGGAGCUAGAAGCAGAUCUGCCAUAUCUGUUGGCGCCAUCUUCAUAAAUAUAGGAGCUGGGUCGAAUCAAGGUGCCGAAGACAGGCUCCUUCAUGACCAGUAUCUGUGACGAGACGAGCCUGGAGCUGAUCUACGCUGCAAUGCCCAACAGGCGUUGGCAAACACCUCCGAAGUGACAAAAGAUGGAGGACAGAAGAGCUGCUUUUGUCAUGGAGUCCUCUUAUUGAAAGACUGGUUGAUACUGAUGUAUGAAUUGGGAGAGAGCUUUCACUCAGCAUUAAAAUUGAACUAGACGCA